rnacentral:tmRNA from 1 species
GGGGGCGCACUGGUUUCGACGGGGGUACAUGAGGUUACAGUUGCAUGCCGAGGACUCCGCUGGCCUCGUAAAAAAGCGGAAACCAAAUCAAUUGCCAACGAUUACGAAGUGGCACUGGCUGCUUAAUUAAGCCAGCGUCUGCCCGGUACUUGCCUACGGUAUUGGGGUUGGGCGUUACGAUGUAGGAUAGCCUAAGCGAGAGCCCCGCCUGUGGCGCACGCCUGAGCGAAAACAAAUACAAGGCUAGCACACGCCUUGCCCGGCUGGGGAGGUUGGGCGGUGCGAAACACACUCCCCGGACAAGCAUGUAGAGGCUGUGGCUGAAGGCUUUCGGACGCGGGUUCGAUUCCCGCCGCUUCCACUU